rnacentral:rRNA from 1 species
UCAGGCCUAACACAUGCAAGUCGAACGGUAACAGGCCGCAAGGUGCUGACGAGUGGCGAACGGGUGAGUAAUGCAUCGGAACGUGCCCGGUCGUGGGGGAUAACUACUCGAAAGAGUGGCUAAUACCGCAUACGAUCUAUGGAUGAAAGCGGGGGAUCGCAAGACCUCGCGCGAUUGGAGCGGCCGAUGUCAGAUUAGGUAGUUGGUGGGGUAAAGGCCCACCAAGCCGACGAUCUGUAGCUGGUCUGAGAGGACGACCAGCCACACUGGGACUGAGACACGGCCCAGACUCCUACGGGAGGCAGCAGUGGGGAAUUUUGGACAAUGGGGGCAACCCUGAUCCAGAAGAGCCGCGUGCAGGAAGAAGGCCUUCGGGU